GUCUUUUUGUUAAAAAUUUAAAGUCGGGCCUGCCCACUGAAAAUUUAAAUGGCCGUGGUAUUUUGACCGUGCUAAGGUAGCAUAAUCAUUAGUUUUUUAAUUGAAAGCUGGAAUGAAAGGUUUGAUAAGAAAAUGACUGUCUCUAUUUAAUUUUAUUAAAAAUUUAUAUUUAAGUUCAAAAGCUUAAUUUUAAUUAAAAGACGAGAAGACCCUAUAGAGUUUAAUAAUUUAAUUUAAUUUAUAUUUUAGAAUUAAUUUAUUUAUUUUUUAAUAUUAUUUAAUUGGGGUGAUUGAAAAAUUUAAUUAACUUUUUUUAUAUUAAACCAUUAAUUUAUGAUAAUUUGAUCCAGUUUUUUUGAUUAUAAGAUAAAAUUACCUUAGGGAUAACAGCGUAAUUUUUUUAGAAAGUUCAAAUUAAAAGAAAAGAUUGCGACCUCGAUGUUGGAUUAAAAUUAAAUUUUGGUGUAGAAGCUAAAAAUUUUAAGUCUGUUCGACUUUUAAAAUUUUACA
rnacentral:rRNA from 1 species